rnacentral:rRNA from 1 species
GACGAACGCUGGCGGCGUGCUUAACACAUGCAAGUCGAACGGAAAGGCCCUGCUUUUGUGGGGUGCCCGAGUGGCGAACGGGUGAGUAACACGUGAGUAACCUGCCCUUGACUUUGGGAUAACUUCAGGAAACUGGGGCUACUACCGGAUAGGAGCUCCUGCUGCAUUGUGGGGGUUGGAAAGUUUCGGCGGUUGGGGAUGGACUCGCGGCUUAUCAGCUUGUUGGUGGGGUAGUGGCUUACCAAGGCUUUGACGGGUAGCCGGCCUGAGAGGGUGACCGGCCACAUGGGGACUGAGAUACGGCCCAGUGUGCAACGGGAGGCAGCAGGGGGGAAUAUUGCACAAUGGGAGGAAGCCUGAUGCAGCGGCGCCGCGUGCGUGAUGACGGCCUGCGGGUUGUAAACCGCUUUAGCCUGUGACGAAGCGGGAGUGACGGUAAUGGGUAAAGAAGCACCGGCUAACUACGUG